GACUCCUACGGGAGGCAGCAGUGGGAAAUAUUGGACAAUGGGGGGAACCCUGAUCCAGCCAUGCCGCGUGUGUGAAGAAGGCCUUUUGGUUGUAAAGCACUUUAAGCGGGGAGGAGGCUACUUAGAUUAAUACUCUAGGAUAGUGGACGUUACCCGCAGAAUAAGCACCGGCUAACUCUGUGCCAGCAGCCGCGGUAAUACAGAGGGUGCGAGCGUUAAUCGGAUUUACUGGGCGUAAAGCGUGCGUAGGUGGUCUUUUAAGUCGGAUGUGAAAUCCCUGAGCUUAACUUAGGAAUUGCAUUCGAUACUGGGAGACUAGAGUAUGGGAGAGGAUGGUAGAAUUCCAGGUGUAGCGGUGAAAUGCGUAGAGAUCUGGAGGAAUACCGAUGGCGAAGGCAGCCAUCUGGCCUAAUACUGACACUGAGGCACGAAAGCAUGGGGAGCAAACAGGAUUAGAUACCCUGGUAGUCCAUGCCGUAAACGAUGUCUACUAGCCGUUGGGGUCUUUGAGACUUUAGUGGCGCAGCUAACGCGAUAAGUAG
rnacentral:rRNA from 1 species